CAUAGUUGUCGUCUCGAGGGUCCUCUCCGCUCAUGCUGUCUUCGUCUCCUUACCAGAGAGAUUUGGACUCCAGCAUCCUGAACUCUGUGGACACGUCGCUGGUGUCUGCUGGAGACACGAGCUUCUUUAACGGAUCCUGGCAUCAGCGCAGGUUGCUGUCCAGCAGUCUUGAGGAGCUGCAGAGCGGAUCUUUACAAAAGGUUUGUUAGAACAUUUAAACUCACUUUGCUGCCGCUGAUGAACUCUACAGAUACCGUAAUCUAAUCCAACUAAUCUGUAUGUCUAAUCUGAC